GGAGAGUUAUCCUAAUCGGUAAGGAAACUGUUUGCUAAACAGUCGUCAAGAAGACUUAUGGGUUCAAGUCCCAUACUCUCCGCCA
rnacentral:tRNA from 1 species